AGGGCACCACCAGGAGUGGAGCCUGCGGCUUAAUUUGACUCAACACGGGAAAACUCACCCGGCCCGGACACUGGAAGGAUUGACAGAUUGAGAGCUCUUUCUUGAUUCAGUGGGUGGUGGUGCAUGGCCGUUCUUAGUUGGUGGAGUGAUUUGUCUGGUUAAUUCCGAUAACGAACGAGACUCUAGCCUACUAAAUAGAUCGUCGGCUUACAAACGCCGGCGAGACUUCUUAGAGGGACAGGCGGUGAUUCAACCGCACGAAACAGAGCAAUAACAGGUCUGUGAUGCCCUUAGAUGUCCGGGGCCGCACGCGCGCUACACUGAAGUGAUCAGCGUGCUUUUUCAACCUACUCUGUCAGGAGUGGGGAACCCAAUGAACCUUCUUCGUGAUUGGGAUAGGGGAUUGUAAUUAUUCCCCUUGAACGAGGAAUUCCCAGUAAGCGCGAGUCAUAAGCUCGCGUUGAUUACGUCCCUGCCCUUUGUACACACCGCCCGUCGCUACUACCGAUUGAAUGUUUU
rnacentral:rRNA from 1 species